rnacentral:rRNA from 1 species
UACAGAGGUCCCAAGCGUUGUUCGGAUUUACUGGGCGUAAAGGGUGCGUAGGCGGUGGGGUAAGUUUGAGGUGAAAGCUCCGGGCUCAACCCGGAAAAUGCCUUGAAAACUAUCCGGCUAGAGGGUUGGAGGGGAGACUGGAAUUCCUGGUGUAGCGGUGAAAUGCGCAGAUAUCAGGAGGAACACCGGUGGCGAAGGCGGGUCUCUGGGCAACAACUGACGCUGAGGAGCGAAAGCGUGGGGAGCGAACAGG